GGGGAUAUGGCUUAGUGGUAGAGUGCUUGCCUAGCAUGCAUGAAGCCCCAGGUUUAAUUCCUAGUACCA
rnacentral:tRNA from 1 species